rnacentral:rRNA from 1 species
GAGUUUGAUCAUGGCUCAGGAUGAACGCUGGCGGCGUGCCUAACACAUGCAAGUCGAACGGAGUUCUUAAGGAAUGCGGCUUCGGCCAAAUGACUUUUGAACUUAGUGGCGGACGGGUGAGUAACGCGUGAGCAACCUGCCUUUCAGAGGGGGAUAACAUUUGGAAACAGAUGCUAAUACCGCAUAAGAUUACAGUACCGCAUGAUACAGUGAUCAAAGGAGCAAUCCGCUGAAAGAUGGGCUCGCGUCCGAUUAGAUAGUUGGUGAGGUAACGGCUCACCAAGUCGACGAUCGGUAGCCGGACUGAGAGGUUGAACGGCCACAUUGGGACUGAGACACGGCCCAGACUCCUACGGGAGGCAGCAGUGGGGAAUAUUGCACAAUGGGCGAAAGCCUGAUGCAGCAACGCCGCGUGAGGGAAGACGGUUUUCGGAUUGUAAACCUCUGUUUUCGGUGACGAACAAAUGACGGUAACCGAGUAGGAAGCCACGGCUAACUACGUGCCAGCAGCCGA